UACAGAGGGGGCGAGCGUUGUUCGGAAUUACUGGGCGUAAAGGGCGCGUAGGCGGCCUGUUAAGUCGAACGUGAAAUCCCUGGGCUCAACCCAGGAACUGCGUCCGAUACUGGCAGGCUUGAAUUCGGGAGAGGGAUGCGGAAUUCCAGGUGUAGCGGUGAAAUGCGUAGAUAUCUGGAGGAACACCGGUGGCGAAGGCGGCAUCCUGGACCGAUAUUGACGCUGAGGCGCGAAAGCCAGGGGAGCAAACGGG
rnacentral:rRNA from 1 species